AAUCCAAGUCAGAGCCCGUCGGCCACCUCCAUCUCCAUUCCUGCGCGCGUCGGCCACCUCCCUGCGGCGGAGCUCAACCCCGAAACGAAAUGAAACCCACCGCCGCCGCCUUUGUCUCCCCAACCAACCACAACCCACUGGCGACCUCCUCCCACUCUCCCUCGCCUCCCCUCACGUCCUCUUGUCUACCUACUAGGCCCCAGAUCGACUCGGCCUUCUCCUUCUCAGGCCACGACCAGAUCCGCUCCGGCGUUCCCGCAUCGGCGCCGUCAUGGACCUCCUCACCAAGCAUCUGCCCGCCCCAUCCUCCGUCCCUCGCGCAGCAGCCAAACCCUCCCUCCCUCCCCUUCGCCGCCGACGAUGGCCGCCGCGGCGGAGAAGACGGCCGAGGAGAUCCGCCAUGAGCUCCAAGAGCUGCAGCGCCAGCACCGCGAGAUCAGCGAGCGCCUGCCCGACCCCCGAGGCCUCCGACGCGGCGCCCCCGCCACCGGCCCCGGCGCCGGCCCCGGAGCGAUCUCGUCCCUGUAUCUGUUUUUGUGCGUGAUUUUUCUCCCCGCGUGUUUCUGAUGCAGGCCCCGGAGCCGGUGGACCAGCCCGAGCCCAAGCGCCGGCUUCUUUCUGCCGUGGUUAAAGUGGAUGGCCCUGGAACUAAUGGGGAUGAUGCGGCGGCGGAGGGGCGUGAGGAUGGACCAAAUGCUGCUCAAGGUGGUGAGAGGAGGGGAGCUAGUAAUGGUGGGUUCAGGAGGGAUGGGAGCCAGUGGGUAUCCAGGAGGGAGCUUGAUAAUCAGCUGCCAGAGCCUCUCCGAGGCCGGCUCCCAAGGAAGAGGAUCAGAGCUUGGUGAGGAGGAACAAGAGAAUGCUGGGGAAGCUUCUUGCUGGCACGCUAGAGGUGAACGUUCCGAAGACCAAGAAGACCUACUGCAAGAACAAGGAGUGCAAGAAGCACACCCUCCACAAGGUUACCUAGUACAAGAAAGGCAAGGAUAGCCUUUCUGCAUGUUUAUUUGGAUCCACUGAACCUUUGCACGGCUAAUCUCUCAAGUUUGUAUAUACAUAGACAGGUUUUUUGAAAGUGUGACUCCAUAGUAUUGAGAAGUAAUCAUGUUUCCUUUAGU